rnacentral:rRNA from 1 species
GACGAACGCUGGCGGCGUGCUUAACACAUGCAAGUCGAACGGGCCCGCUCUCUUUUUUGGGGGUGGGUUGAGUGGCGAACGGGUGAGUAUCACGUGAGUAACCUGCCCCCUGCUCCUGGAUAACUGCUUGAAAGGGCGGCUAAUACGGGGUGUGCCGGCUGGUCCGCAUGGGCCUGGUCGGGAUAGUUUCAUCUUCGGGUGUUUCGGGGGGGGAUGGGCUCGCGGCCUAUCAGCUUGUUGGUGGGGUGAUGGCCCACCAAGGCGGGGGCGGGUAGCCGGCCUGAGAGGGUGGGCGGCCAGAGUGGGACUGAGACACGGCCCAGACUCCGGCGGGAGGCAGCGGUGGGGGGUAUUGCACAAUGGGCGGAAGCCUGAUGCAGCGACGUCGCGUGAGGGAUGGAGGCCUUCGGGUUGUGAACCUCUUUCUCCGGUGGUGAAGGCCCUGUCCGUUGCGGCGGGGUUGACGGUAGCCGGGUAUGAAGCGCCGGCUAACUACGUG